rnacentral:tRNA from 1 species
GUGGGGUUGUGGCUCAGUGGUAGAGUGCUUGCCUCGCAGGUGUGAGACCCUGGGUUCAAGCCUCAGCACCACA